rnacentral:ncRNA from 2 species
AGUAGGAUAUUGCGCGUUAAGUGCCGUAUGAACGUGGGGUGUCAGCGGACGAAGAGAAAACUCGCGGUGCGGUAUCC